UACGGAGGAUGCGAGCGUUAUCCGGAUUUAUUGGGUUUAAAGGGUGCGUAGGCGGACGCUUAAGUCAGCGGUAAAAUUGCGGGGCUCAACCUCGUCGAGCCGUUGAAACUGGGUGCCUUGAGUGGGCGAGAAGUACGCGGAAUGCGUGGUGUAGCGGUGAAAUGCAUAGAUAUCACGCAGAACCCCGAUUGCGAAGGCAGCCUUCCGGCGCCCUACUGACGCUGAGGCACGAAAGUGCGGGGAUCGAACAGG
rnacentral:rRNA from 1 species